rnacentral:rRNA from 1 species
UACGGGGGGGGCAAGCGUUGUUCGGAAUUACUGGGCGUAAAGGGCUCGUAGGUGGCCAACUAAGUCAUACGUGAAAUCCCUCAGCUUAACUGGGGAACUGCGCCUGAUACUGGUUGGCUUGAGUUUGGGAGAGGGACGCGGAAUUCCAGGUGUAGCGGUGAAAUGCGUAGAUAUCUGGAGGAACACCGGUGGCGAAGGCGGCGUCCUGGACCAAUACUGACGCUGAGGUGCGAAAGCGUGGGGAGCAAACAGG